UUCGAAACAUUGAAAGGAGUCUGAGGAAACCAUUGGGGGGAUGCUUGAUUUUUCGACAUCUUGUUCUCUACUAUUGUCAUGAAAAAGGCCUGCUCCAUUUUUCUCUUAGAAGUUAAAAUCAUCUCUUUUUUACAAGAUCAUGAUAGGAACGCAGAACAAUGAGUAAAUAUUUUUCUUCUUGGGUACAAAUGGAUUUUGUCGUUGAAUUGUCUCCUUUUAUUGUAUUUUCCAUAUUGCUUUAUUCACUAAUUCAAUAUCUAAUUUAGAAUAAUGGUUGAGUUUAUUUUAAUUCGCUCCCCCCUUGCAGACAAAAUCCCUAGCGAAAUGAAGUUCGCUCAGCAAACGCAAUCACGGAGUGAAUCGAAGUGAAGGAAACGUCUGAUCGCGAAUCGAAGUGAAGGCCAGCCUGACCGCGAGCGAAGUGAAGGCCUGUCAGUGAGCGAAACCACGAGCGAAGUGAAGGCCUGUCAGCGAGUGAAAUCGCAAGUUGAAGACCGGUCAUUGACCGCGAGCGAGCCCUGGCGGCGAUCGACCGAGCAAGAGUGACUGGAAGAGAGCAAGCGAGCGAGAGCAAAAAGUGGGGAGCGAGCGAGGUCACCCCAAAUCAGCUGCACUCCACGCCUUGCCUCCAGAUCAGAUCUCCUCCCUAACCUCUUUUUUAACUGAAUCAUCGAAUGACCUCGGCUCCACGCUUGACUACAAGCGAGCGAACACCCAGUGACCGCGAACGAGAUCCUUCUGCGAGCAAUAGUUCACCCACCUCCCGCAGGAUCACGUCCACUUCCGACGAGCGACAGAUACAACUAUCAGAAGAUAGGAGGAAAUCUCGCUAUUGGUUUUCGACCUACAAGUCGAGAACUUGCACGCUAUAUCUAUUCCAUAUAUCUUAUCUACUUUUAGUUGUUUAGUUAAUUGGUUUGUAAUCUCUUUAUUUUCUAUUUAAUCUAAAUCGUC
rnacentral:lncRNA from 1 species